UGGGAAACAAGUGCAUCAUGCCAGAUCUGGGAUGUUCCCUCUGGGUGGAGCUGCCUGGCCCUUAUAAAAGGAGUCUCUACCACCGUGCUGCUAUCUUCGUGAUACUCAGUCAUAGGUCUUCUUUGGAGCCUCUGAUUCCUUGAGACCCAGGAAGGAUGCCUCACCAUCCGCAUCCACAUCCACAUCCACAGCAGCAUCAGCAUCAGCAUCACCAUCAGUGCAAGGAGCCCUGCCAUCCACCUCCAAAAGUGUGCCCACCGAAGUGCCAUGAGCCUUGCCCACCCCAUCCAUGCCCACCUCCAGUGAGCCAGCAGAAAUGCCCUCCUGGGCCACCAUGCCCACCAUGGGAGCAGAAGUGUCCACCCAAGUGGAAGUAACAGCACCAGAUUUCAUCUGCACCAAGAAACAAGAUCCAGGCUCUUCCAUUGUCCUCCCUUCGGCCAUGGUGAUGGACUACAUCUUCCUUAACCUCCCUCCUGGACCGACAGCUGACAGAGAAAUGGCUUGCUUCCUGAAGCUG